CUGAGUUAGUUGAAGAUAGAGGUUUUCUUGAUGCCCUAAAAGAUCUCAUAUCUGACAAUAACCCUAUGGUAGUAGCAAAUGCUGUUGCAGCUCUUGCUGAAAUUCAAGAUAACAGCAGUACACCCAUUUUUGAGAUCACUAGCCAGACCUUGUCAAAGCUCCUUACAGCUCUAAACGAAUGCACUGAGUGAGUAUGCUAUUAAAGUCAUUUACUNUUGCAGCUAUGACAGUUGGGAAGGAUGUAUCAUCACUUUUCACAGAUGUCUUGAACUGUAUGCAGACUGAAAAUUUGGAGCUCAAAAAGCUUGUUUACUUGUAUCUCAUCAAUUAUGCUAAAAGUCAACCCGACCUAGCAAUACUUGCAGUUAAUACCUUCGUGAAGGUAUAAACUAGUAUAAACUCACUUUUCACAUCCACAUAAUUGUUCCCCAUUAAAGACACUGAUUUUGUUUUUUUACAUGUAACAGGAUACACAAGACCCAAAUCCUUUAAUCCGGGCUUUAGCUGUUCGAACAAUGGGAUGCAUCCGAGUUGAUAAAAUCACAGAAUAUCUUUGUGACCCCCUCCAGAGGUGUCUCAAGGUUAACAUCGCCUUUAUUUCAUGUUUUGAUCUUCAGUAAUCAAUCAACUACAAAUAUAUUAAGAUGAUUUAAAAUUGUCUUCAACAGGAUGACGACCCAUAUGUUCGAAAAACAGCAGCUAUAUGUGUUGCUAAACUUUAUGACAUCAAUGCUGAGUUAGUUGAAGAUAGAGGUUUUCUUGAUGCCCUAAAAGAUCUCAUAUCUGACAAUAACCCUAUGGUAGUAGCAAAUGCUGUUGCAGCUCUUGCUGAAAUUCAAGAUAACAGCAGUACACCCAUUUUUGAGAUCACUAGCCAGACCUUGUCAAAGCUCCUUACAGCUCUAAACGAAUGCACUGAGUGAGUAUGCUAUUAAAGUCAUUUACUAUUUAUCUACUAAUUUGUGGUAUUAAAGUCAAUUUUGACAUUAUUCAGGU
rnacentral:lncRNA from 1 species